UACGUAGGGUGCAAGCGUUGUCCGGAAUUAUUGGGCGUAAAGAGCUCGUAGGCGGUUUGUCGCGUCUGCUGUGAAAACUCGGGGCUUAACCCCGGGCCUGCAGUGGGUACGGGCAAACUAGAGUACUGCAGGGGAGACUGGAAUUCCUGGUGUAGCGGUGAAAUGCGCAGAUAUCAGGAGGAACACCGGUGGCGAAGGCGGGUCUCUGGGCAGUAACUGACGCUGAGGAGCGAAAGCGUGGGGAGCGAACAGG
rnacentral:rRNA from 1 species